GUGGUGUACUGGAGCCAGGCCCUUUCUGCCUAAGCAGGACACUCAAAGAGGCAGUCUUUGCCCUGCAGCCCUCCACUGGCCCAGCCAACACUCUCUCAGAGCUUAGACAUCUGCUUCUCAGAGCACCCAAACUGACAGGGUGUAUCCAGUAUAUUUGAUUCUGAAGCUAGAGAGACCCAGCUGGCCAUACACAUUGGGGAAUCAUUGACAGAUGGCAGCUGAGAUCUGAGAGCGGUUGACCUCACUUCACAAGGUUGAGUGGAAUUAGGAGGGACAAACUUCUGUGACAGGAGCCUGAGGAGCACCAAACAGUGGUUGGACUGAAAUCCAGUAUGAAUCAUAUAAGAGAGAUUUAGAAGCACGUGAAGAUAAAUGUUUCCCAUGUGACACAGAGCAGCACAUCUGGAAGCUCUUACUCAUUGUGCUGGGAAUUGCUUUCAAGUCCUGUGACUCCAGGGAGAACCCAGCCCAUUUCACAGGAUGUUUAAUGUGUGCUCACAAAUAGAUUCCAUCAGCUCUCCUACGGCACCCAGGAGGUCAGCUGCCCCAUGGAGGAAGCAAGAUUUGUGUGCAUUAGAAAUAAAUGAACUGUUGGAGAUAGGAUCUUCUUUGUUGACAAAACAAGUCUUGAAGAUAAGAGAUCAAGGCUUCUAGUUAAAUGGAGCAGUGACCUUAUCAGAAAUCUCAAAGCAGAAAAGUCUGUCAGAAAAACAGCAUCAGAUCAAGGAAACCAAGUACAUGGAGCUAAUUUUUGACUCUAAAGAAAGGCAAGAUUAUUUAAUAAUAAUGAUAAUGGCACAGUUUGUUAACUAUGUGAAGAAAAUCAAAUAUAGCUUUAUCUCCAUUAUACAACCAAAUAUAUUCUACAUGGAUUAAAAUAUUAAAUGUAAAAGUUAAUCAAACCAAUAAGUCAAAAAAGAAAAAAAUAGAAAAAAUAUCCAUAAAAAUUUAUUGAAUUACAAAAUGGUCAUAAAAUAUAUUAGUUCAAAACAAUGGAAUAAUUCAUAAAGGAUGACUAUUAUAGAGAUUUUCCCGUAGAGAGUUCUAAAAUUUAUGUGACUCAAAAAAUGCCUUAUAUAAAACUAAUAUCAAAUAAAAAUUUUCAGAAAAUAUUUGCUUGCAUAAGGCAAAAGAGCUAAUAACCUUAAUGUAUAAAAGUUCCUUCAAACUAAGUACCAUCUCAGAAGAAAAAAAAUCUCAAAGUGGUAAUCAAAUAAUAAAAAUUGUAAUACCAGGUCUCGAUGACUUAGCUAGGUGUGGUGGUGCACACGCCUGUCGUCCCAGCUACUCGGGAGACUGAGGCAGAAGAAUCACUUGAACCCAGGAGGUGGAGUUUGCAGUGAGCCAAGAUCACGCCACUGCACUCCAGCCUGGGGACAGAGCGAGACUCUGUCAAAAAACAAAACAAAACAAAAUAAAACUUCCCUUAAUUCUGCAACAUUUCUGAUUAGACCAAGUAGCAUCAGGAAAGAUACAGAAGAACUUUCCCUCCUCCAACAGCUAAGUUCAACUAAAUUUCUGGACACUGUAUAUAUUUUAACCUCCCCCACCUAAAAUAAAAGAAAAAAAAGAGAAGACUUUGCAGUAUGGAGAAAAGGUAGACAAGCCAGGGACCUUGGUCUCAAAGAACAACAUGGUGGUGGGUUUCCUGGGUUUUCUUUUCCAUCAUAUAUCUCAGACUUGGAGAUGAAAAAUCAGCAAUCCAGAAACAACAUUGGAUGGAGAAAAAGCUGCAAUGAAAGAUUGCCAUCUCUAGCAAAGGAGCAGAAAAGGGGCAGACUAUCAAGGCAGAAAACUUUCAGGCUGUAACUGCUCUACUCCAACCACAUCCAGAAAACAAAACUAAACAAACAAACAAAAAAAACUUGUGGCCUCAUUUUCACUCAUGCUAACAAAGCCCAAGUGGGGAGUCUAAACUGCCACCCUCACAAAGCUGUAAAUAGGUGCCCGCAAUACCCCUACAGGAGUGGUGUCAGAGGACAUGGAAAAGGGAGCCAAAACUUUCAUUUCUGUUAGCCAGUAACAAGAGUCUACUGCAGUGUAAAUGGAGACCAUAUGGGGAACUUGGACUUUCAUGCUACCUGGCAGUGACGAGGCAGCCCUUCUUUCCCUGAUGGAAUGGCAUCAGAGGAUCCCAGUGGGAAGUGAGGACAUUCACUACCACUAAUUAGUAACAAGGCCACCACCACUAUGGUGUCAAUAGAGAUCACAUGGAGAGGCAGCACAAAUAUCUAUGCCCAGUAGUUAUUAAGACCUGCUUCUCUCAGCAGAGUCAGGUGUCAGUGGAGGAGAAGUGAAGGAUCUGGAAGUGAAUUCUACCUUCCAGUAGAAAGCUGUGUUGAGCCACUUUUCCCCCUUUCAAAGCAGUGCCUAAAAAAGCAGCUGGAGGAUAAAGUUUGAAUAAGAUCCAAAGACUCUUAACGUAAUAUGAAUGUGACCAGGUUUCAAUCAAAAAUUGCUUGUCAUACAAAUAACAAGGAAAAUUUCAAAAAGGAUAAAAAGUAAAUUCAUUAUAUGCCAAUAGUGAGAAGGCAGAGCUAUUAAAAUAAUCUGACAGAGAUUGUAGAGCAACUGUGGUAAAAAUACUUCAACAAUCAAAACAUGCUUGAAACAAAUUUAAAAAACAGAGUUUCAGCACAGAUAUAUAAGACACAAAGAAGAACCACUGGACAUUUUAGAACAGAAAAAUGUAAUAACUUAAGUGAAAGCUUAAUGGAUGAUAUCAACAGCAGAAUAGAAGAGACAGAAGAAGAAAACAGGUAGCUUUAAGAUAGAAGAAGAAAAAUCACAUAAUCUAAACAACAGAGAGGAUAAAGGAAAAGAAAAUGAACAGAGCCUCCAAGAUCUGUGGACUAUAACAAAAUAUCUAGCAAAGACCUGGAAGAAGAGAAAUAGAGUGGGUCUAAAAAUGUGCUCCAAGUACACAUGGUCACAAAGAUGAGAACAAUAGACACUGAGGACUACUUGGAGGGGGAGACUGGGAGGAGAGUGAGGGUCAUAAAACUACCGAUUGGGUAUCUUGCUCACUGCCUGGAUGAUGGAAUCAUUUGUACACCAAACCCCAGUACUACACUGCCCAUGUAACAAACCUGCACAUAUACACCCUGAAUCUAAAAUAAAAGUUGAAUAAAUACAUAAAUAUAUAAAAAAUAAAAAUGUACACCAAAAAAUAGCAUCUAAAAUCUACCAAUUUCAUUAGAGACAUAAACCUACAGAAUAUGAAUAAAUAUGAAUGAACCCUAAACAGGGUAAUCACAAAGAUAUUCACACCAAGUUCCCUUGUAAUUAAACAUCUGAGAACUAGAAACAAAGAAAAAAUUUUGAAAGCAAUCAGAGAAAAGACACUUGACCAAUACGAGAAAAGCAAUUAAAAUGACAGAUUUCUCAUCAGAAACCACAGAGGAGAGAUGGAAGUGGCACGAUAUUUUUCAGGUGUCAAAAGAAAAGAGCUCUCAACCUAGGCUGACAAUCCUCUACCCAGGAUGAAAUCCUAGUUUCACAAUUGCAUUAGUCCAUUCUCACAUUGCUAUAAAGAACUACCUGAGACUGGGUAAUUUAUGAAGAAAAGAGCUUUAAUUGGCUCAUAGUUCUGCAGGCUGUACAGGAGGUGUGACUCAGGAGGCCUCAGUAAACUUAGGAUCAAAGCAGAAGGCGAAGGGGAAGCAGACACAUCUUCAUAUGGCAGAACAGGAGAGAAAAAGAGUGAAGGGGAACGUGCCACACACUUUUAAACAACCAGAUCUUGUUAGAACUCUAUCACAAGACAGCACUGGGGGAUGGUGCGAAACCAUUGGAAACCACCCCCAUGAUUCAAUCACCUCCCACCAGGGCCCUCCUCCAACACUGCGGAUUACAAUUCAACAUGAGAUUUGGGUGGGAGACAGAAACAAACCAUAUCAACAAUCCUAUACCCUGAAUAUUCAAUCCUAUAACCAAAGUGAAAGGGAAAUCAUAAUAUUCUUAAGCUGAAGAAAAAGUAAGAUAAUUUACUAUCCUAUCCAAAAAGUAUACCUAAAGAAAGUUCUCUAAACAGAAGGAAAACAAAAGAAAGACACCAGGAAAGGAAGAAAACAGAAAAAAAUAAGGUAAAUAAAAUGGGAUUUCCUUCUCCUUUGGGGUUUUCUAAAUUAUGUUUGAUCGUUAAGUCAAAAUUAUAACACUGAUUUUAUUCUAAAUUUAUGUAGAGAUAAUAUUUAGAACUAUUAUUAUAUAAACAUGGGACAGUAAAGGGGCAUAGAAAAGAGGUAAGGAUUAUAUAUUUCACUUCAACUGAAAAAAAAUGACAUCAGCACCUUGUAAUAAGUUUAUGUAUAGAAAAUUGUAUAUUCAGGCGUACCCAUUUUACCGCACUUCGCUUUAUGGUGCUUUGCAGAUAUGAUGUUUUUUACAAAUUGGAGGUUUGUGGCAACUCUGCAUUACGCACAUCUAUGGGUGCUGUUUUCUUAACAGCAUGUGCUCACUUAGUGUCUUUGUAUCAGCACUUUUUAGCAAUAAAGUGUUUUGUAACUGAGGUAUGUACAUGUUUUUAGAAAUAUGCUAUUGCACACUUCAUAGUAUGGUAUAAAUAUAACUUUUACAUGUGCUGGGAAAUCAGAAAUUUGUGUAACUCACUUUAUUGCCAUAUUUGCUUUAUUGUGGUGGUCUGGAACUCAACCUGCAAUAUCUCUGAGAUAUGUUUGUAUAAUGUAAUACCUAUAGUGAAACAAGUUAUAUGAAAGAUACAUUCAAAACACUAUAGGUAAAUCCAAAUGAAAUUAUAGUGACCAGCCUGGGCAGCAUGGUGAAACUCUGUCUCUACUAAAAAUAGAAAAAUUAGCUGAGCAUGGUGGCACAUGCCUGUAAUCCCAGCUACUCGGGAGACUGAGGCAUUAUUGCUUGAAUCCCUGAGGCAGAGGUUGCAAUGAGCCGAGAUCGCACCACUGCACUCUAACCUGGGUGACAGAGCAAGAUUGUAUCUCCAAAAAAAAAAAAAAAAAAAUUAUAAAAAAUGUUCAAUUAACCCACAGCAGGAUAGGAAAAAAGAAGAUAUUGAAAGGAAAAGUAGGGAGCAGAAAUAAAGCCUAAAAUAAAAUGCAGAUCUAAAUACUAGCACAUCGAUAACUAAUUAAAUGCAGAUGUUCUAAAAUCACUAAUUAAAAAAGAGUGGCAAAUGGAUUUUAAAAUCAUGACAAUUACAGAAUAUUAAAAACUCUUCAAAUAUAAUGAUACAGGCAGGCUGAAAUUAAAAGAGUAGUAGAAAAAUAUAAAAUUCAGUCAUGAAUCAGACAAAAAUAGAAAUGACUAAAUUAAUUCCAGUAAAGUAGAUUUUGUAGCAAAGAAAUUACCAGAGAGAGAGAGGAAUAGUGUAUAAUGACAAAAGUGUCAGUCCACCACAAAGACAUUGCAAUGGUAGAUGGAGCAUGCACCAAGUAAUGUAAUUGAAAACAUGUGAAGCAAAAACUGAAAUAAAGAAAAAGAGACACAGACAUAUCCACAAUGAUGGAUAAAGACUUCAUACUUCUCUCAACAAUCGAUAGAAAAACUAGACAUAAAAUCAACAUGGAGAUAAGAACCCAACAAUACCAUCAACCAACAGAAUCUAAAUAACAUUUAUAAAAAUUCCACUCAACAUCAGCAGAAUACACAUUAUUUUCAAAUGUCCAUGGAACAAGUACCAAAAUCAGCCAUAUUCUGGGCCAUAAGACAGACCUCAACAAAUAGAAAAGAUUUGAGAUCAUGCAGAGAAUGUCUUCCAAACAUAAUGGUAUCAAAUUAGAAAUCACUAAUAGAAAUAAAACCAAAAAUAUCUCUUCACACUUGGCAACAAGACAACCUAUUACUAAAUAAUCCAUGAGUCAAAAAGGAAUUAUCAAGAGAAAGAAAAAAAUACAUCAAAUUGAAUGAAAGUUAAAACAUGUCAAAAUGUGUAGAACACAGUGAAAGCCAUGCUGAGAGGAAAAAUUAUAGCACUAAGUGCAUACAUUAGAAAAGAGUUUGAAAAGGCUCAAAACAAUAAUGUGAGCUUUCACCUCAAAAACCUAGUAAGUGACUAAAAAAUAAACCCAAAACAUUAUAAGUCAUUAGAGAAUUGCAAAUUAAAACAACAAUGAAAUACCAUUAUGCAAGCAUUAGAAUGAAUAAAAAUCCAAAAACUGACAAUACUAAAUGCUGUUAAGGAUGUGGAACAAUAGGAACUCUCCUUCAUUGCUAGCAGUAAUGCAAAAUUGUACAGCUAAUUUAGGAGAUCAUUUGGUGGUUUCAUAUGAAACUAAACAUAGUCUUACCACACAACCCAGCAAUUGCCUACUUAGAUAAUUAUCCUGAUGAGUUGAAAACUUAUGUCCACAUAAAAACUUGCGUAUGAAUGUUUACAUCAGUUUUAUUCUUAAUCACCAGAAUCUGAAAGCUAACCAAAAUAUUUUUUAGUAGAUGAAUAAACUCUAGUACAUCCAUAAAAUUGAAUAUAAUUGUAGAUAAUAUUAAUGAACUAUAUAAUAAAAAUUAUAUAAUAAGUAAUGAAUUACAAAGCCAUGAAAAGACAUGAAGGAAUAUUAUGUACAUAUUGCCAAGUUUAAAAAGCCAAUGUGAAAUGAAAAGGCUACAUAUUAUAUAAUUCCAACUGCAUGACAAUCUUGAAAAAAGCAAAACUAUGGAGACCUUAAAAAGAUCUGUGGUUUCCAGAAGUUGAGGUGGGGUAUCAGGGAGGACAGGAGGGAUAAAUAGAUGGAACAUAUGAGAUUUUUAGGAUGAUGAAACUGUGCUGUGUGGUGGAUAUAAGGCAUGCAUUAGUCAAAACCUAUAGAAGAGUACCACACAAAAAAAGUAAACCUUAAUAUAAACUACCAACUUCACUUAAUAAUAAUGUAAUAGUAUUGGCUCAUUAAUUGUAACAAAUGCAUCAUUCUAUACUAUGCAAAAUGUUAAUAGAGGAAAUUAUAUGGGAGUGGGGGAGUAUUAUCUGCACAAUAUUUUUGCUCUAAAAUGUUGAGGUAGAUUUGUACCUGAUUUGUUGAGAGGUUUUAUCAUGAAGGGAUGUCAAAUUUUGUCAAAUCCUUCUUCUGGCUUAUUGAGAUGGUCAUAUGAUUUUUACUCUUUAUUCUAUUAAUACGUUACAUUUAUGAUUUGCAUACAUUAAACCAUUCUUGCAUCCUUGGGAUCGAUCUUACUUGUUCAUGGUGAAUAAUCUUUUUAAUGUGCUAUUGACUUUUGUUUGCUAGUGUUUUGUUGAGUAUUUUUGCAUCUAUGUUCAUUAGCAAUAUUAGCCUGUUUUUUUCUUUUUUAUUGAAAGCUUUCCCUCUAAGAUUUGGAAGAAGACAAGGAUGCCCAUUUUCACAACUCCUUGACAUAGUAGUGAAAGUCCUUUCUACAGCAAUUAGGCAAAAGAAAGAAAUAAAAUACAUCCAAAUAGGAAAGGAGGAGGAAGUCAAAUUGUCCCUAUUUGCAGAUGACAUAAUCUUACACAUAGAAUACUCUAAAGACUCCACCAAAAACCUGUUAGAACUAAUAAACAAAUACAGUAAAAAUGCAGGAUAUAAGAUUGAUAUAAAAAAUCAGUGGUGUUUUUAUACACCAAUGGUGAACUAUCUGAGAAAGAAAAGAAGAAAGUAAUUCCAUUUACAGUUGCUACAAAUAAAUAAAUACCUAUGAAUAAAUCUAACCAGGGAGGUAAAAUACCUCUACAAUGAAAACUGUAAAACUGAUUAAAUGAGUUAAAGGGGAUAAAAAUUAAUGGAAAGAUAUUUGAUGCUCAUGAAUUGGAAGGAUUAAUAUUAUUAAAUGUUCAUACUGCUUAAGACAAUCUACAGAUUCAAUACAGUCCUUAUCAAAAAUUCCAGUGUCAUUCUUCACAGAAAUAAAAAAGAACAAUCCUAAAAUUUGUAUGAAAUAAAAAAAGACCCCAAAUAGCCAAAACAAUCUUGAGCAAAAAGAACAAAGCUGUAGGCAUUACACUACCCAAUUUUAAAAUCAAAUCUAUAGUAACCAAAACAGCAUGAUAUUGGCAUAAAAAUACAUACACAGAUCAAUGGUACAAAAUAGAAAGCUCAGAAACAAAUCCAUGCAUUUACAACCAAUUGAUUUUCAAUAAAGUUGCCAAGAACACACAAUGGGAAAAUAAAUGGUGCUGGGAAAACUGGAUAUCCACAUGCAAAAGAAUGAAACUUGACCCUAUCUCUCAUGAUAUACAAAAAUCUACUCGAAAUAAUCUACUCUUAAAUAUAAGACUCAAACUAUAAAAUUAAUACAAAAAAGGGGGUGAACACUACAUGAUAUCAGUCUGGACAUGGAUUUUUUAGACAAGACCUCAAAAGAAAGAACAACAAAAACAAAAAUCAACAAAAACAAAAAUAAACAAAUAGGACAACAUCAAACUAAAAAAGUUCUGCACAGCAAAGGAAAAAAUCAACAGCAUGAAGAAGCAACCAUAGAAUGAGAGAAAACAUUUCCAUGUUAUAUACCUUACAAAGAGUUAAUACCCAGAAUUUAUAAGAACUCAACUCAAUGGCAAAAACAACUAAUUCAAUUUAAAAGUAGACAGAGCAAGACUCUGUCUCAAAAUAAAUAAAUAAAUAAAUAAAUAAAUAAAAGUAGACAAAAGACCUGUUUAGACAUAUCUUCAAAGAAGACAUACAAAUGGCCAACAAGUUUAUGAAAAAAUGCUCAACAUCAGCAACCAUCAGGAAAAUGCAAAUCAAAACCACAAUGUGAUAUCACCUCACCCCAGUUAAAAUAACUAUUACGAAAAAAAACAAAAAAUAACAAUGCUGUUGAGGAUAUGGAAAAAUGGGAACCCUUAUAGAUUGUUAGUGGGAAUGUAAAUUAAUACAGCCUUUAUGGAAAACAGUAGGACAUUCCUCAAAAAAUUAAAAUCAGAUCUACCGUAUCACCCAGCAGUCCCAUUACUGGGUAUAUAUCCAAAAGAAAUACAAUCAGUAUGUCAAAAAGAGAUCUCAUGUUUAUUGCAGGACUAUUCACAAUAUCCAAGAUGUGGAAUCAAAUUAAAGACCCACCAAUUAAUAAAUGGAUAAGGAAAAUGUGGUAUGUGUAUAUAUAUAUAUAUAUAUAUAUAUAUACACACACAAUGGAAUAUUAUUCAGCCACACAAAAUAAUAAAAUUGUGUCAUUGUGCAACAUGGAUAAGCCUGAAGGACAUUAUGUUAAGUAAAUUAAGCCAGGCACAGAAAGACAAAUGCCACAUGAUCCCAUUCAUAUGUAAUACCUAAAAAAAUUGAUCACAAAAAAGUUCAGAGUAGAAUAGUUGUUACCAGAGAGUUAGGAGAAUACAAGAAAAAGGGAGAUGGGGAGGGGCUGGUCAUUGGGUACAAUGUUACAGCUGGAUAAGAAUAAGAAGUUCCAUUACUUUAUAGCACAACAGGGUGACUGUAGCUAACAAUAAUGCAUUGUAUAUUUCAAAUAGCGAGGAAAGAGGUUUUUGAAUGUUCUUAUAACAAUGAAAUGGGCCAGGUGCAAUAUGAGAGGCUUGAGCGUUGCUUAAGGCAGAGUUCAAGAUCAGUCUGGGCAACAUAGCAAGCCCCCAUCUUAGGUUUGUUUGUAUGCACCUGUAGUCCCAGCCAUUCAGGAGGCUGAGGUGGGAGGAUCACUUGAGCCAGGAAGGUUGAGGCUACAAUGAGCUAUGAUCAUGCUGCCGCACCCCAGUCUGGGCAACAGAACUAGAUCCUAUCUCACAAACAAACAAACAAAGAUACAAUACAUGUUUAAAGUGAUGGAUAUGCUAAUUAUCACGAUUUUAUCAUUACACAACAUAUAUAUAUGGCAACAUUACGUUGUAAUACAUGUAAACAUGUGCAAUUAUUUUUUGUCAAAAAAGAAUAAAGAUGUGUUGUCAAAAACAUGUAAAAAUAAAUAAAAAUAUAAUCUACUAAGUAAAAAGACUUAAUUAAAAUUCAACAUACAUUCAUAAUUAAAAGCUCAAAUAAUGAAAUAGAGGAUAAUUUUCUCACCUUGAUACAAAGCAUCAGCUGAAAAGCUGCAACUAACAUUAUACUGACUGGGGAGAAUUGAUACUUUCUCCUCAAGAUCAGGUACAGAAACAGGAUGUUAAUUCUCACCACUUUUAGUCAACUUAGUGCUGGAAGUUCUGGUAAGUACAAUAGGGCAAGAUAAAGAAAGCUGAAAGACUACAGAUCAGGAUGUAAUAUAUAAAAUCAUCCCAUUUGCGGAAGGCACAAUUGUCUUCUACAUAGAAAAUUCCAAUGAAUCUACAAAAAUCUUGUACAAACUAACAACUAAUAACUAAUCAGCAAGGUCAUAGGACAAAAAAUAUGCAAAAAUUAAUUUUAAUUCUACAUAUUUGCAAUAAACACAUGAACCCCAACACUUAAAAUACAAUUAUAAUCCCUCAAAAAUAAAAAUGUAGGUAUAAAUCUAACAAAACAUUUACAGAAAUUAUAUAUUAAAAUUAUACAACACUAAUGUAUUAAUUUCCUUUUGCUGCUGUAACAAAUGACCACAAACAUAGUGGCUUAAACCAAUACAAGUUUAUCAGAACUCUAGAGAUCAUAUGUCUUAAAUACGUUUCAUGAGACCAAAAUCAAUGCAUUGGCAGGCAUGGAUUCCUUCUGGAAGCUCUUUGGGAGACUGCAUUUCUUCACCUUUUCCAGCUUCUAGGGGCUGCUUCCAUUCCUUGGCACGUGGCUCCAGCUAGCAGUUUCAUCACUCUGAUCUCUGCUUCCAUAGUCACAUCUACUUCUCUGUAUCCUCUGCCUCCCUUUUUCACUUAAAGAAACAUUACAAGUACAUUGGACCUACAAGAAUAAUACACGAUAAUCUCACUAUUUCUUUAUUUCUCUUCCUUCCUUCUUUCCUUCCUUCCUCUUUCUUUCUUUUUCUUUCUUUCUUUCUCUUUCUUUCUUUCUUUCUUUCUUUCUUUCUUUCUUUCUUUCUUUCUUCUUUCUCUCUCUCUCUUUCUUUCUUUCUUUUCUUUCUUUCUUUUCUCUCUUUCUUUCUCUUUCUCCCUUCUUUCUUUCCUUCCUUCCUUCCUUCCUUUCUUUCUUUUUUUCUUUUGACAGAGUCUUGCUCUUUUGCCCAGGUUGGAGUGCA
rnacentral:lncRNA from 1 species